rnacentral:rRNA from 1 species
UAAGCAUAUCAAUAAGCGGAGGAAAAGAAACUAACAAGGAUUCCCCUAGUAACUGCGAGUGAAGCGGGAAAAGCUCAAAUUUAAAAUCUGGCGGUCUUUGGCCGUCCGAGUUGUAGUCUGGAGAAGUGCUUUCCGCGCUGGACCGUGUACAAGUCUCUUGGAACAGAGCGUCAUAGAGGGUGAGAAUCCCGUCUUUGACACGGACUACCAGUGCUUUGUGAUGCGCUCUCAACGAGUCGAGUUGUUUGGGAAUGCAGCUCAAAAUGGGUGGUAAAUUCCAUCUAAAGCUAAAUAUUGGCGAGAGACCGAUAGCGAACAAGUACCGUGAGGGAAAGAUGAAAAGCACUUUGGAAAGAGAGUUAAACAGUACGUGAAAUUGCUGAAAGGGAAACGAUUGAAGUCAGUCGCGUUGGCCGGAACUCAGCCUUGCUUCCGCUUGGUGUAUUUUCUGGUUGACGGGCCAGCAUCAGUUUUGAUCGUUGGAUAAAGGCUGGGGGAAUGUGGCACCUUCGGGUGUGUUAUAGCCCUCGGUCACAUACAACGGCUGGGACUGAGGAUCGCAGCACGCCUUUAUGGUCGGGGUUCGCCCACGUAUGUGCUUAGGAUGCUGGCAUAAUGGCUUUAAACGACCCGUCUUGAAACACGGACCAAGGAGUCUAACAUGCCCGCGAGUGUUUGGGUGGAAAACCCGAGCGCGUAAUGAAAGUGAAAGUUGAGAUCCCUGUCAUGGGGAGCAUCGACGCCCGGACCUGAACUUCUGUGACGGCUCUGCGGUGGAGCGUGUAUGUUGGGACCCGAAAGAUGGUGAACUAUGCCUGAAUAGGGUGAAGCCAGAGGAAACUCUGGUGGAGGCUCGUAGCGAUUCUGACGUGCAAAUCGAUCGUCAAAUUUGGGUAUAGGGGCGAAAGACUAAUCGAACCAUCUAGUAGC